UACGUAGGGCGCGAGCGUUGUCCGGAAUUAUUGGGCGUAAAGAGCUCGUAGGCGGCCUGUUGCGUCCGCUGUGAAAUCCCGGGGCUCAACCCUGGGCGUGCAGUGGAUACGGGCAGGCUGGAGGCAGGCAGGGGAGAACGGAAUUCCCGGUGUAGCGGUGAAAUGCGCAGAUAUCGGGAGGAACACCGGUGGCGAAGGCGGUUCUCUGGGCCUGUGCUGACGCUGAGGCGCGAAAGCUAGGGGAGCAAACGGG
rnacentral:rRNA from 1 species